rnacentral:lncRNA from 1 species
GAAGCUGGUCAAGCAGCUCUUCCUUUUCUUCAACAAGCUGGUGUGACUUGUGAAUUCAAGGUAUGAAAUAAUAACCAAAUCAAACCCUAACAAGCAGACAAUUCAAAUACCGAUCACAUGGAUCGUAGAUACCGAUUCUUGAGUAUGGAAAUCUGAAGAAAUUUCGUUUAUCUGCAGGCUUAUCCUGAUCUUGGACACUCAAUCAGUAAUAAGGAGCUGCAAUAUUUGGAGUUAUGGAUCAAACAACGGAUGCAGAGCUCUUCGUCUUCUUCUUAAAAUGGUAUUAAAAGGCAACAUUGUACUCAAGGUAAUACCAUCCUAUUGCCUACAAGAUUAGAAGAAAAAUGAUAACAUCAGCUCAUCUCUGGUCCAGUUUCUCUAUCAUGAAAGCCGGUUUUUGGUUUAAUCGUCUUGUUUGGUUAUGUAAACGGUUACUUUUGUUAACUACAAAACAUUUUGUUACUUUGCAUUGAUUUGAAAAAUUAUAUGUCAACACUAGAAUUCUUUUAUUUUAGUCAACAAAUCAAGUGACUACAUAACUCGAAUUGUGAUGUGUUCAAAAUGGAAAAUCUUUUAUCCAAAACAGUAAAAAUUCUUCUGACCAAAACAAAACUUGCAUACCAAUGCCAUCAUUAUAAUUUUUACAAAUUUCUGUGAAAUUGUGUUUAUGUAACUAUACAAAUUAUUUUUCGUAGAAAAGAAAACAAAAAAUCAUA